AUUGAACGCUGGCGGAAUGCUUUACACAUGCAAGUCGAACGGCAGCACGGGGGCAACCCUGGUGGCGAGUGGCGAACGGGUGAGUAAUACAUCGGAACGUGCCCGGUCGUGGGGGAUAACGUAGCGAAAGUUACGCUAAUACCGCAUACGAUCUGAGGAUGAAAGCGGGGGACCUUCGGGCCUCGCGCGAUCGGAGCGGCCGAUGUCAGAUUAGGUAGUUGGUGGGGUAAAGGCCUACCAAGCCGACGAUCUGUAGCUGGUCUGAGAGGACGACCAGCCACACUGGGACUGAGACACGGCCCAGACUCCUACGGGAGGCAGCAGUGGGGAAUUUUGGACAAUGGGCGCAAGCCUGAUCCAGCCAUUCCGCGUGCAGGGCGAAGGCCUUCGGGUUGUAAACUGCUUUUGUAUGGAACGAAAAGGCUCUGGCUAAUACCUGGGGCUCAUGACGGUACCGUAAGAAUAAGCACCGGCUAACUACGUG
rnacentral:rRNA from 1 species